CCUACGGGAGGCAGCAGUGAGGAAUAUUGGUCAAUGGGCGGAAGCCUGAACCAGCCAAGUAGCGUGCAGGAUGACGGCGCUACGGGUUGUAAACUUCUUUUAUAAAGGAAUAAAGUGAGGCACGUGUGCCUUUUUGUAUGUACUUUAUGAAUAAGGAUCGGCUAACUCCGUGCCAGCAGCCGCGGUAAUACGGAGGAUCCGAGCGUUAUCCGGAUUAAUUGGGUUUAAAGGGAGCGUAGAUGGGUUGUUAAGUCAGUUGUGAAAGUUUGCGGCUCAACCGUAAAAUUGCAAUUGAUACUGGCAGCCUUGAGUACAGUUGAGGUAGGCGGAAUUCGUGGUGUAGCGGUGAAAUGCUUAGAUAUCACGAAGAACUCCGAUUGCGAAGGCAGCUUACUAAACUGCCACUGACAUUGAUGCUCGAAAGUGUGGGUAUCAAACAGGAUUAGAUACCCCGGUAGUC
rnacentral:rRNA from 1 species